UAGCCUGGAUGGGAUAAAAAUCCAGAAGGCUCACUGUUUGGUCCCUCCUGCCUGCUCUGCCAUGGACUGUUUCUCUUCCAUGAUGCUCUUCUGUCAUGCUACCUGGCCUUGAAGCCUGCCAACUGUGGACUGAAACCUCUACAAACUUCUUCAUGAGCUUCGCCAGAUGGGCUUCCCUUUUCCUGGAGGUGAGGCAAUGAAGAAAGGAACUGGAGCUUGGGCUGGGCAGAUGCUAUGGAUUGAACAACUUUCCUCUGCCAGACCCUUC